CCAUGAUUAUCGCCGAUCUUUAAUGGAGUUUCUAAACUAAAUGACUCAUUUAAUUAAAUCAAAAAUAUGUAAAAGCUUUAUUACCGAUCCUUAGUUAGUGAUUUUUGUGAUCGAUCGUUAGAGUGGUUUUCCAACCACGUGUCAGUAUCCCAUUUAAUCAAUUUUUUUUCUUUUCUCUCUUUCUUUACUUUUUCAUCGCUUCUCGUCGUGAUCUCCGUCUACGAAAGGAUCCAAACCGACGACGGACGAAACCCACCAACGACGACGGACGAAACCCACCAUCGACGUCUCCUCCAUCUUCUCCGUCAGAAGAAGGAUCGAAACCCACCACAAUCCACAAACGAACUUUUUUCUGUUAAAAUCUUAAGAGAAGCUAAAAGAAUCACAGAGGAAGCAAGUCAAGUGUUGAGAGAGAUAUAUAAAGGCGAUGGCUUUUCUGAGUAAAUUUGGAAACGUAUUGAAGCAGACGACGAGCAAACAGCUCAAUGCUAAUUGUUCUUUAUCAAGUCCUUCCCUUUUUCAGGCGAUAAGGUGCAUGUCAUCUUCUAAGCUCUUCAUCAGAGGUAUGGAGUAUGGAAUGAAUGAGGAUAGCUUAAGAGAAGCUUUCAGAAAAUACAAUGAUGUUGUUGAAAGUAAAAACACUGGUCGAGGGGGUUUGGGUUUGUUACAUUCACCUCUGCAGAGGCGGCCUCUAGUGCUAUCCAAGAUUAUGUAAUCAGACGAGUUCAAGGCUUCAUCUAAGCUAGAGACAAUCACUUUCUCCGAGAUGAAACACGAAGAAAUUGAGGCUUUAGUUGAGUUCAUGUACUGCGUUGAUGGCUCUAUUAGUCUUGAAAGUCUCAAGAAACACGUAGGAUAACUCCACUACUCUUAACUUGAUUCUAUUUUCAUUCUUAUAUCUUGUUGUUUUGUGUCACGGACAAGAGGUCAGUGUAAUGUGGUCAUUGUAAUGUUGUCUUCUGUCACAGACAAGAGCUCAUUGUAAUGAAUAAAUAAUAUCUUGUAAUGUGUCACAAACUUGUAUAAAUAAGCUUUUGUUC